GGACCUAUGGGGCACCCUGAAACCACCAACACGUCCAAGAAUCUAUGGGGUACCCCAAAACUGCCAACACAUUGAUGGACCUAUGGGGAGCCCCGAAACCAACCACGGACCUAUGGGCACCCCAAAACCACCAACUUCUCCAUGGACCUAUGGGGCACCCCAAAACCACCAACACGUCCAAGGACCUAUGGGGAGCCCCGAAACCAACCGCGGACCUAUGGGGCACCCCAAAACCACCAACACAUUGAUGGACCUAUGGGGAGCCCCGAAACAAACCAUGGCCCUAUGGGGCACCCCGAAACUGCCAACUUCUCUAUGGAGCUAUG
rnacentral:lncRNA from 1 species